rnacentral:rRNA from 2 species
UUAAGCGACUAAGCGUACACGGUGGAUGCCCUGGCAGUCAGAGGCGAUGAAGGACGUGCUAAUCUGCGAUAAGCGUCGGUGAGGUGAUAUGAACCGUUAUAACCGGCGAUUUCCGAAUGGGGAAACCCAGUGUGUUUCGACACACUAUCAUUAACUGAAUCCAUAGGUUAAUGAGGCGAACCGGGGGAACUGAAACAUCUAAGUACCCCGAGGAAAAGAAAUCAACCGAGAUUCCCCCAGUAGCGGCGAGCGAACGGGGAGGAGCCCAGAGCCUGAAUCAGUGUGUGUGUUAGUGGAAGCGUCUGGAAAGGCGUGCGAUACAGGGUGACAGCCCCGUACACAAAAAUGCACAUAUUGUGAGCUCGAUGAGUAGGGCGGGACACGUGGUAUCCUGUCUGAAUAUGGGGGGACCAUCCUCCAAGGCUAAAUACUCCUGACUGACCGAUAGUGAACCAGUACCGUGAGGGAAAGGCGAAAAGAACCCCGGCGAGGGGAGUGAAAAAGAACCUGAAACCGUGUACGUACAAGCAGUGGGAGCCUCUUAAUGGGGUGACUGCGUACCUUUUGUAUAAUGGGUCAGCGACUUAUAUUCUGUAGCAAGGUUAACCGAAUAGGGGAGCCGAAGGGAAACCGAGUCUUAACUGGGCGUUAAGUUGCAGGGUAUAGACCCGAAACCCGGUGAUCUAGCCAUGGGCAGGUUGAAGGUUGGGUAACACUAACUGGAGGACCGAACCGACUAAUGUUGAAAAAUUAGCGGAUGACUUGUGGCUGGGGGUGAAAGGCCAAUCAAACCGGGAGAUAGCUGGUUCUCCCCGAAAGCUAUUUAGGUAGCGCCUCGUAAAUUCAUCUCCGGGGGUAGAGCACUGUUUCGGCAAGGGGGUCAUCCCGACUUACCAACCCGAUGCAAACUGCGAAUACCGGAGAAUGUUAUCACGGGAGACACACGGCGGGUGCUAACGUCCGUCGUGAAGAGGGAAACAACCCAGACCGCCAGCUAAGGUCCCAAAGUCAUGGUUAAGUGGGAAACGAUGUGGGAAGGCCCAGACAGCCAGGAUGUUGGCUUAGAAGCAGCCAUCAUUUAAAGAAAGCGUAAUAGCUCACUGGUCGAGUCGGCCUGCGCGGAAGAUGUAACGGGGCUAAACCAUGCACCGAAGCUGCGGCAGCGACACUAUGUGUUGUUGGGUAGGGGAGCGUUCUGUAAGCCUGUGAAGGUGGCCUGUGAGGGUUGCUGGAGGUAUCAGAAGUGCGAAUGCUGACAUAAGUAACGAUAAAGCGGGUGAAAAGCCCGCUCGCCGGAAGACCAAGGGUUCCUGUCCAACGUUAAUCGGGGCAGGGUGAGUCGACCCCUAAGGCGAGGCCGAAAGGCGUAGUCGAUGGGAAACAGGUUAAUAUUCCUGUACUUGGUGUUACUGCGAAGGGGGGACGGAGAAGGCUAUGUUGGCCGGGCGACGGUUGUCCCGGUUUAAGCGUGUAGGCUGGUUUUCCAGGCAAAUCCGGAAAACCAAGGCUGAGGCGUGAUGACGAGGCACUACGGUGCUGAAGCGACAAAUGCCCUGCUUCCAGGAAAAGCCUCUAAGCAUCAGGUAACAUCAAAUCGUACCCCAAACCGACACAGGUGGUCAGGUAGAGAAUACCAAGGCGCUUGAGAGAACUCGGGUGAAGGAACUAGGCAAAAUGGUGCCGUAACUUCGGGAGAAGGCACGCUGAUAUGUAGGUGAAGCGACUUGCUCGUGGAGCUGAAAUCAGUCGAAGAUACCAGCUGGCUGCAACUGUUUAUUAAAAACACAGCACUGUGCAAACACGAAAGUGGACGUAUACGGUGUGACGCCUGCCCGGUGCCGGAAGGUUAAUUGAUGGGGUUAGCGGCAACGCGAAGCUCUUGAUCGAAGCCCCGGUAAACGGCGGCCGUAACUAUAACGGUCCUAAGGUAGCGAAAUUCCUUGUCGGGUAAGUUCCGACCUGCACGAAUGGCGUAAUGAUGGCCAGGCUGUCUCCACCCGAGACUCAGUGAAAUUGAACUCGCUGUGAAGAUGCAGUGUACCCGCGGCAAGACGGAAAGACCCCGUGAACCUUUACUAUAGCUUGACACUGAACAUUGAGCCUUGAUGUGUAGGAUAGGUGGGAGGCUUUGAAGUGUGGACGCCAGUCUGCAUGGAGCCGACCUUGAAAUACCACCCUUUAAUGUUUGAUGUUCUAACGUUGGCCCGUAAUCCGGGUUGCGGACAGUGUCUGGUGGGUAGUUUGACUGGGGCGGUCUCCUCCUAAAGAGUAACGGAGGAGCACGAAGGUUGGCUAAUCCUGGUCGGACAUCAGGAGGUUAGUGCAAUGGCAUAAGCCAGCUUGACUGCGAGCGUGACGGCGCGAGCAGGUGCGAAAGCAGGUCAUAGUGAUCCGGUGGUUCUGAAUGGAAGGGCCAUCGCUCAACGGAUAAAAGGUACUCCGGGGAUAACAGGCUGAUACCGCCCAAGAGUUCAUAUCGACGGCGGUGUUUGGCACCUCGAUGUCGGCUCAUCACAUCCUGGGGCUGAAGUAGGUCCCAAGGGUAUGGCUGUUCGCCAUUUAAAGUGGUACGCGAGCUGGGUUUAGAACGUCGUGAGACAGUUCGGUCCCUAUCUGCCGUGGGCGCUGGAGAACUGAGGGGGGCUGCUCCUAGUACGAGAGGACCGGAGUGGACGCAUCACUGGUGUUCGGGUUGUCAUGCCAAUGGCACUGCCCGGUAGCUAAAUGCGGAAGAGAUAAGUGCUGAAAGCAUCUAAGCACGAAACUUGCCCCGAGAUGAGUUCUCCCUGACUCCUUGAGAGUCCUGAAGGAACGUUGAAGACGACGACGUUGAUAGGCCGGGUGUGUAAGCGCAGCGAUGCGUUGAGCUAACCGGUACUAAUGAACCGUGAGGCUUAACCUU